GUAGUGCCGUCGCUUGAACUUGAGUUGCUCAUGUGCUGUGAUGAAUUCGGGCUCUGGCCAAGAAAGAGGAACGGCUUUGAGAAAUGUGAAAAGGGCAGCAGAUGCAAAACCUGGCAUCAGAGGACGCCUAAUGCUGACUGAGGGAUGACAGGCUUUGAAACCAAAAGGAGGAGACUUAGGGCAGAUGCUGCACAGAUGGGAGAAUCCAAGAAGAGCUGCCUGGGGAGGAGAGGAUGUGAUCAAAGCAGUGCUCACGCUGGAUGGACAUCAGUGGAAAGAGGCUUCAAGCUGGUUAAAACAACAGAAAAGGAAAAAAGAAAAGCAAGACAUUUUUCAGAUGGAGGCCCCCAAGCUUUAUCCGUACCUCCCGCCACGACAGCGCCUCCAUAGAUCUGCUGAGGGCCUAACAAACCCUACCAAACAAUAGCAUCUUGUCAAGGACCUGAUGGGAAGUUGACAUGUUUCCAGCUCAUCUUGAUUGUUUUUUCACUUGGUGGGUUGACAGGGGAGUCAUCACUGCCCAGGAUUCCGUAUCUUGGGCAAAUAUACCACUGUGGAGUUAAGACCAGUGGGGAUCGGUCUCUUCUCCCACGUAACAGCAAUAGGAUGAGAAGUGUCGGCCUCAAGCUGUGCCAGGGGAGGUUCAGGUGGAGUGUUAGGGAACAUUUCUUCUCAAAAAGAGUGCUAAUGCAUUGAGAUAGGCUGCCCAGGGAGGUGGUUCCAUAAAAGUGGAGACGUGGCACUAAUGGACAUGGUCAGUGGGCG
ensembl:lncRNA